UACGAAGGGGGCUAGCGUUGCUCGGAAUUACUGGGCGUAAAGCGCACGUAGGCGGCUCUUUAAGUCGGGGGUGAAAUCCUGGAGCUCAACUCCAGAACUGCCUUCGAUACUGAGGAGCUUGAGUCCGGGAGAGGUGAGUGGAACUGCGAGUGUAGAGGUGAAAUUCGUAGAUAUUGGGAAGAACACCAGUGGCGAAGGCGGCUAACUGGUCCAGAUCUGACGCUGAGGUGCGAAAGCGUGGGGAGCAAACAGG
rnacentral:rRNA from 1 species